rnacentral:rRNA from 1 species
GGCAGCAGUAGGGAAUCUUGCACAAUCGACGAAAGUCUGAUGCAGCAACGCCGCGUGUGCGAUGAAGGCCUUCGGGUUGUAAAGCACUUUUCUGAGGGAAGAGAAAGGACGGUACCUCAGGAAUAAGUCUCGGCUAACUACGUGCCAGCAGCCGCGGUAAUACGUAGGAGGCAAGCGUUAUCCGGAUUUAUUGGGCGUAAAGCGCGUGCAGGUGGUAUGGUAAGUUGGGUAUGAAAUCUUCUGGCUUAACUGGGAGAGGUUGCUCAAAACUGCCAAACUAGAGGACGGUAGAGGAAGGUGGAAUUCCCGGUGUAGUAGUGAAAUGCGUAGAUAUCGGGAGGAACACCAGUGGCGAAGGCGGCCUUCUGGGCCGUUCCUGACACUAAGACGCGAAAGCAUGGGUAGCAAACGGGAUUAGAAACCCCGGUAGUCCAUGCCGUAAACGAUGUGAACUUGAUGUCGGCAACGUAAUAGUUGUCGGUGUCGUAGUUAACGCGAUAAGUUCACCGCCUGGGGAGUACGAUCGCAAGGUUAAAACUCAAAGGAAUUGACGG